UCUCAUGAAAGCUCCGGCGAUGAAGGAUGGGGAUGCGUUCCAUUAGGUAGUAGGCGGGGUAACGGCCCACCUAGCCCACGAUGGAUAGGGGGUUCUGAGAGGAAGGUCCCCCCANACUGGAACUGAGACACGGUCCAGACUCCUACGGGAGGCAGCAGUGAGGAAUAUUGGUCAAUGGGCGCAAGCCUGAACCAGCCAAGUAGCGUGAAGGAUGACUGCCCUAUGGGUUGUAAACUUCUUUUUAUACGGGGAACAAACCUUGGUACGCGUACCAAAUUGCGUGUACCGUAUGAAUAAGCAUCGGCUAACUCCGUG
rnacentral:rRNA from 1 species